rnacentral:lncRNA from 1 species
GUGGCCUAUGCCUGUCUGGGGUGGGACGUCUUUGCUAGAACCUGGGUUUGUUUCUUUGUCAGCUUUUCUCAAGCGUCCUGCGGAACAAAUAUUGAAGAGUAAGGUUUUGGAAGGAGGAAUCAUAGGUUCUGGAAAACCAAGAUUUCUGUUACACCAUCAGAGACUGGUGUCGUAAUAGCCGUAAGGACAGAGAUCCCCAAACCGUUAUUCAUUUUUGAGACUCAAAGCUGUGCGUAGGAAUCCUAGUUUCUCUGUGCUCCAGUGAUUAAACUUAAGUUUGAAAUCUUUAUUGACGAUGUAGUUCGUCAAUCGAUUUCCAUCGGUUUUGAAACCUCCAAAAUGUCAAAGGAGAACAUGAACGGAUAGAAACAGAUCACAAUGGAGUGGAUGCAGCUCGAAGCAGAUAAAAUUUUAUAUUUGUUUACUUUGUGGAAACGCCACGGGAGUCGAGUUUUUCCAACUCAGACCAUUCAUUAAAGAGUUUGCAUUCGGGAGCUGAACGUCUGUUCCCCAAGAUGAUGAAUGCUGACAUGGACGCAGUUGAUGCUGAAAAUCAAGUGGAACUGGAAGAAAAGACUCGACUCAUUAAUCAGGUGUUGGAGC